CUGUUCCCCCACUCUAGGAGAUACCUGCCUCCAGGUUGAAUGGCUGGUUACAAUGUGACUCUACAAACCAGUUAAGUUCCUGGUGAAGAUUUCAGGAUGCUGUUUAAAAUAACAGAGAUGGAGUUUGUCAUGGAGAACUAAUGCAUUUUAUACUAGGACUACUGAAGGACCGGCAUGAGAAGCCACAAAUAUUUUUGUGAAUCCUUUUUUGCCUACCUCAACAGAGUGAAAAAACAAACUAGAGGAAUGCCUGUUGCAAACUACUGAGCUGUCUACAAGGACAUAAUAUUUUGAAUGGGUUGGCCACUGCCUGACUCAGCAGAGGUCAGUUACUUAGCAGAAGAAUUCAUGAUACGCAUCUUGGAGUCUCAAGUCUCCCAGCAUCAAAGCAAUUGGAGAUGAUAAUGCCCAUAUUGCACAUCACAAUAACGUUUUAAUUCCUAUGAACUGCAGAGAUUUCACCUCCUAUGUCUGACUCCCAUCCAGGAUCAAAUGGUCCACUUCACUGAGAAGCAAAAGAGCAAGUGCUUACAGCAUCUCAGAUGAAGCCAACAUCCAGGACUUGACACAAGCUGGAAGUCAUGGAUUUGCAUCAGGUUUAGUAGUACUUAGGGUUGGUUGCUUGCUGUUAAUAAAUGGAGGGCAGCUCUCCAUUCAAAUCAGCUUGGACCUGUCCCUUGCUUUUGCCGUUGCCCGCAGUGACAUAAUGUCCUAUCUGAUGGAGAUUGCAAGACAGAGAGACCGUCACUAAACCAUUCUAUGUUCCUUUGCCUAGCAGGUACAAUUAAAACAAACAAAACUAUGAGUACUUCCAUUUUCAAAGCUCUGUAAGGAUUAUUUUUCUGUUCUGUUCUUAGCAGCAUUUAAUAGAUCUAUAGGAGCUGGUGAGAUAUUCUGAACUUUGACAUCAGCAAUAUGCAGAUGUAAUUUUCUCUGCUUAUCCUUUGCAGUGUAGGAAAACAUUAUUGUUGCCAAGCUAACCCAGGCACUGGCUCAUGUCUGUUAGCAGAUGAAGAACAGCUAGUUGAAACCAAAUCGGAACAAGGCUGAGCUCCUGCUGGUUGGCAAAAGUGCACAAAUAGCACCCCUGGCCAUGUUAAGAAGCAAGAACUGAAGAAAUACUGUUGCUGUUCUGGUGGCAUACUCAGUUUGACUUAGAACAGGCAAUAUUAAGUAUCUGAUGAGAACAACUGUGUCUGAAAUUUCUAGAAUGGCACAGUAAAAUUGAAGUGCUUAAAUAUUUUGUGUAAAGAUCCAAAGUUCUGGAAGCCAUCCAAAGCAAGCUUACCCUUUGGGGUUUGUUCAUCACUAGUACAAUUCAUGCCUUUCUUCUUGAACAGCAGCUUUUACUGCUAUCUAGCAUGGAUGAUGUUUCACAGAAAGGAAAGUAUGAAAAGAAGUGUUCACCUUUUGGUCAACUUACAAACUGCCAGUACCACAUUUUAUCUGGAGAAAGAAAAGUGAAAAAAAAAAAAAAAAAAGUACUAAAUGGGACAUUUUCUACUGUGGAAAUUUAUUGAGGUUUACUUUGUAGAAGUGGAUAUUUUGUAUAAAUACAAGUUACAAACUCCUGAACACCAACACGAAUAUUCUUAAAAGUAAAAGUAGUUGAGUUCAAGUGCCUAGAAUUGGCAGAAUAUAUAGGUCUAAGUGCCAUUUUCUAAUAACUGAAUGGAAAUAAAGCAGUGACACAAGCAUUCUCAUAUUUGAUCGCGGGAAAAAUGCCCUUUGACUUAAAAUGGAGUGACACCAAGUAACAAAAUAUUGCCUUAUACACAUCUAAAUUUCUUUGUGUACAUGACUAAUUCUACUGAUGUGAGGUAAUAAGUUUCAGACAUUCAAAAGUGUAUGUGAGAGGGUAGUCUACCCACUGAUUUCAGACAGGAAGAAGAAUUCUUGAAUAGCACAUGCGGAACUUCAAAAACCAUUGCCAAAUUGUAAAAUC